rnacentral:ncRNA from 2 species
ACUGUAUUAUACGACUGACGGAAGUGGAAUUAACCACAUGGAGUAUAAUUUCUUGAAGAGCCGACCGUCUGGGCAACGUCC